AACGAACGCUGGCGGCAGGCUUAACACAUGCAAGUCGAGCGCCCCGCAAGGGGAGCGGCAGACGGGUGAGUAACGCGUGGGAAUCUACCCAUCUCUACGGAAUAACGCAUGGAAACGUGUGCUAAUACCGUAUACGUCCUUCGGGAGAAAGAUUUAUCGGAGAUGGAUGAGCCCGCGUUGGAUUAGCUAGUUGGUGGGGUAAAGGCCUACCAAGGCGACGAUCCAUAGCUGGUCUGGGAGGAUGAUCAGCCACACUGGGACUGAGACACGGCCCAAAAUCCUACGGGAGGCAGCAGUGGGGAAUAUUGGACAAUGGGCGCAAGCCUGAUCCAGCCAUGCCGCGUGAGUGAUGAAGGCCCUAGGGUUGUAAAGCUCUUUCACCGGUGAAGAUAAUGACGGUAACCGGAGAAGAAGCCCCGGCUAACUUCGUGCCAGCAGCCGCAGUAACAC
rnacentral:rRNA from 1 species